rnacentral:rRNA from 1 species
AUGAACGCUGGCGGCGUGCCUAAUACAUGCAAGUCGAGCGAACAGACGAGGAGCUUGCUCCUCUGACGUUAGCGGCGGACGGGUGAGUAACACGUAGAUAACCUACCUAUAAGACUGGGAUAACUUCGGGAAACCGGAGCUAAUACCGGAUAAUAUAUUGAACCGCAUGGUUCAAUAGUGAAAGACGGUUUUGCUGUCACUUAUAGAUGGAUCCGCGCCGCAUUAGCUAGUUGGUAAGGUAACGGCUUACCAAGGCAACGAUGCGUAGCCGACCUGAGAGGGUGAUCGGCCACACUGGAACUGAGACACGGUCCAGACUCCUACGGGAGGCAGCAGUAGGGAAUCUUCCGCAAUGGGCGAAAGCUUGACGGAGCAACGCCGCGUGAGUGAUGAAGGUCUUCGGAUCGUAAAACUCUGUUAUUAGGGAAGAACAAAUGUGUAAGUAACUAUGCACGUCUUGACGGUACCUAAUCAGAAAGCCACGGCUAACUACGUG